rnacentral:rRNA from 1 species
AUGAACGCUAGCUACAGGCUUAACACAUGCAAGUCGAGGGGCAGCAUGGUCUUAGCUUGCUAAGGCCGAUGGCGACGGCGCACGGGUGAGUAACACGUAUCCAACCUGCCGUCUACUCUUGGACAGCCUUCUGAAAGGAAGAUUAAUACAAGAUGGCAUCAUGAGUCCGCAUGUUCACAUGAUUAAAGGUAUUCCGGUAGACGAUGGGGAUGCGUUCCAUUAGAUAGUAGGCGGGGUAACGGCCCACCUAGUCUUCGAUGGAUAGGGGUUCUGAGAGGAAGGUCCCCCACAUUGGAACUGAGACACGGACCAGACUCCUACGGGAGGCAGCAGUGAGGAAUAUUGGUCAAUGGGCGAGAGCCUGAACCAGCCAAGUCGCGUGGAGGAAGACUGCCCUACGGGUUGUAAACUCCUUUUACCUGGGAAUAACGGGCGCUACGCGUAGCGCUGUGCAUGUACCGGGAGAAUAAGCAUCGGCUAAUUCCGUG